AAUUUGACACUAAUAGAUAUAAAAUUUUCAGAAAAACAUCCAAAAUUUUUUGUGAAAAUUAAAAAUAUUAUGGUAUAAAAUUUUAAAGUAAAUUAAAUAAAAAGAUUUGAAAAACAUGGCCUGCUGCUAUCCAGAGGAUUGUGGGGAGUAUGCUGUGACGCCGAUGCUGAUAGCGCCUUGUUUGCCGACGAAGUGUUGCGAGGACCCGCCAGUGUGUUAUCCUUGCUUGCCGCGAUGUCCUAAAGGGCAGAUGGUGUAUUGUUGCGAGAAGCGGCCUCCACCCAGACAGUCUCAGAGCUGUGAGAGCGACGAAGGUUGUUGUGACCCGCCACCAGCGCCGCGGCAGAAAUGCUCCCGACCACCACCCGCCCCUCGCCAGUCCUCAUCUUGUGCAGCACCUCCCAACUGCUGCCCGACCUGCUGCAGGCCAAUGAAAACAAAAUACGUCAUCCCUUGCUAUCGAUAUGAAGAUGGACGUAUUGAACAGUACGUUCCGACACGUCACGGUAGGCUUCCCAUGACAGCGUACCAACGGAACGGAAUUCAGGAUCAAAUUCAUGGGUAUAGAGGGGCGAUCCGAUACUUAUGUGCAGGAGAGGGCCCGAGAGGCUGUUGUGUUUACACCGCAGUCGAACCAAUCAAGAGACUAUUUCCUAAAGUCACACAAGAAGUCCUGCCUGUUAAAAGGAAAAAGGAUAAGAAGUGAAAAUAGAAUCCCAAAAAAUCUAUUUGUUUACGUUGUCGCGUGAUUAGUCUUGAUAUAAGUAAGGCGACAAUUUCAAUGCCCGCCAGGUAAAUCCACUGCCAUCUUCUGCACUUAAGCGAAAUGGACUUCAAGACCAAAAGUUUAUAGAGAGCGGUGGUAUUUCAUACAUUCGCAAGUCCUGGCGCGAAGCGAUAUGGAGCUACUGUCCUAUAACAAUACCAGUCAAACCAAUGAAGAAACUUCCCGUCUUUGUUACUAAGAAGUGAUGUCUGCCUGCUCCCGUGGUGAAAACAUUGCCAGUGACUGCUUUCAAACGCAAUGGGAUGCAGGACCAGGAACACUCGAAGCUAUUGGGCACUACGAAUUUCCUCGUCAGACACCCGCGCGAUGUGUCCAUUGAGUGCGACAUUUGUACCAACCCAGUCAAAGUAGCGGACCCCGCAAAAGUGCCCCCAUGCCAAGCUAAGCCUGUGCUAGGCUGCGGCUUACUGAAAAAGAAACCAAUAGAAGUGUCGCUAGAAGACAUAUUAGACGAUUGAAACAUUUUCUCGCGUGCACUGGGCUAGACCUAAGGAAAUGAGUUGAAACGAAUGUUUUGACAUGUGAGUCAUUGCGCCUCGAGGAAUGAAGGCGCCGAAAUAAACGGGUUUGUCCACGUAAGCGGAUUUUCAGCAGUACAAUGUGCGAAAGGGUCAAACUAAUGUUUGGAUUUGUCAAGAUGGAAAUUUCGUACUAACCAGCCGACGUUGCUGAUGCGGCGCGCCUGCGAGGUCGCGGUCGGAGCGCGCCAGCGCCGCAAGCCCUUCGUGCUGUCCACCUACAGCGCCGACCCCUACAACGUGGAGCAGCGCUACCACUGUGAAGAUGAACGGGGUAACUGUUGUUUUCACUUCGAAAGAAAGAAGCCCAUGUCCAGCUGCUGCUCGCUAGUGCCAAGCCACCACCACCACCACCCGUGCCCCGCGUGUCAACCCUGCGUCUCUAGUCCACAGUGCCAGUACACCGAUUGUGUGCAUGCCCGGGUGGUCGAUUCUACCUGGAAUCGGCCAUCCUGUUGUUAUUAUUGUUGAUGGUUUUGUUGAUCGAAAUCUUUUGUGAUUGUCUGUGCCUAAACAAUUUGGCGGCUGUGUUAUUAAAGUUUGUAUUUAAUUA